AGAGUUUGAUCCUGGCUCAGAACGAACGCUGGCGGCAGGCCUAACACAUGCAAGUCGAGCGCCCGCAAGGGAGCGGCAGACGGGUGAGUAACGCGUGGGAACGUGCCCUUUGGUUCGGAAUAUUCCCGGGAAACUGGGAGCAAAACCGGAUAAGCCCUUCGGGGGAAAGUUUACGCCAAAGGAUCGGCCCGCGUUAGAUUAGGUAGUUGGUGGGGUAACGGCCUACCAAGCCUACGAUCUAUAGCUGAUCUGAGAGGAUGAUCAGCCACACUGGGACUGAGACACGGCCCAGACUCCUACGGGAGGCAGCAGUGGGGAAUCUUGGACAAUGGGCGCAAGCCUGAUCCAGCCAUGCCGCGUGGAUGACUGAAGGCCCUAGGGUUGUAAAGUCCUUUCGACGGGGACGAUAAUGACGGUACCCGUAGAAGAAGCCCCGGCUAACUUCGUGCCAGCAGCCGCGGUAAUACGAAGGGGGCUAGCGUUGUUCGGAUUUACUGGGCGUAAAGGGCGCGUAGGCGGAUUUUUAAGUCGGGGGUGAAAUCCCGGAGCUCAACUCCGGAACUGCCUUCGAUACUGGAAGUCUGGAGCACGGUAGAGGUGAGUGGAAUUCCGAGUGUAGAGGUGAAAUUCGUAGAUAUUCGGAGGAACACCAAUGGCGAAGGCGGCUCACUGGACCGUUGCUGACGCUGAGGCGCGAAAGCGUGGGGAGCAAACGGGAUUAGAUACCCUGGUAGUCC
rnacentral:rRNA from 1 species